AUAUUUUAAUGUAGAAGAAUUAUUUAUAAUUGGUUUUUUGUAAUUAUACGUUAGUCGUUCUUUAUUAUAUCUGGUUUCCUAAGAAAUUAAUUUAAUUAACUGGAGCGGAAUAAUUUUUUUUUAUUUGGGAAAUAAAUUUUUGUGUUUGGAAUAUUUAGAGGGAAAAGCUUUUAGGUAUAUUUUUAUAAUAAUGAUGUGUCUAGGAUUGGAGUAGGAUUAGAAGUUUUCAUCUGUAGUGUGUUUUAACUAGUCUCUUAGAAUAAUCAAUUUUUUUUUGUUUAGGUGUUUUAUUGGGACAAAGACUUUAAUUUGUGGGUUUUGGGAUAAUGAUGGAAUUAGUAGAAUAAAAUGUAUUGUAAUAGUACGUGGUUUUGAAUCAUUUUAAGGAAUUAGGCAAAAUUUCUUUCCGCCUGUUUAAUAAAAACAUGGCUUCUUGAUGGUAAUAUGAGGUCAGGCCUGCCCGAUGAUAAUUUGAAUGGCUGCGGUAUACUGACCGUGCAAAGGUAGCAUAAUCAUUAGUUUUUUUAUUGAAAGCUGGAAUGAAGGGUUUAACGAGAAAGAGACUGUCUUAAUUUGAUUAUUUGAAUUUUAUGUUUGAGUGAGAAAGCUUAAAUGGGUUUGAGGGACGAGAAGACCCUAUAGAAUUUAAUAGUUUAGGUAUUCCGAGGUUUUAGGUUUUGAAGGUUGGGAUAGACAAGGACUAUUUUGUUGGGGUGAUUGGAAAAUUUGAUUAACUUUUUUUACUUUUUAUCAUUGAUAAAUGAAUUUUUGAUCCAUUAAGAAUGAUUAUAAGAAUAAAUUACCUUAGGGAUAACAGCGUAAUUAAUCUGGAGAGUUCUAAUCGAUA
rnacentral:rRNA from 1 species